GGCAACACUGUACCCCGUCAUUAACUGCCCCCCCUUUACCCCUGACUGGGGUGCCCAGGACGUGUGGUCUUCCCUGCGUAUGCCGAGUGGUCUGGGCUGCUCCACUGUUCUCUCCCCAGAUGCUGCUGCGCAGUUUGCUGCACAGGUGUUGGGGCUCACUGAUCACCUGGUUUG